CUACGGGCUGCUGCAGUGGGGAAUAUUGCACAACGGGGGGAACCCUGAUGCAGCAACGCCGCGUGGAGGAUGACGCAUUUCGGUGUGUAAACUCCUUUUAUCAAGGAAGAAAAUGACGGUACUUGAUGAAUAAGCACCGGCUAACUCCGUGCCAGCAGCCGCGGUAAUACGGAGGGUGCAAGCGUUACUCGGAAUUACUGGGCGUAAAGGACGCGUAGGCGGCCUAAUAAGUCAGGAGUGAAAUCCUACGGCUCAACCUUAGAACUGCUUUUGAAACUGUUAGGCUAGAGUGAGGGAGAGGUCAGUGGAAUUAGUGGUGUAGGGGUAAAAUCCGUAGAGAUCACUAGGAAUACUCAUUGCGAAGGCGACUGGCUGGAACUUUACUGACGCUGAGGCGUGAAAGCGUGGGGAGCAAACAGGAUUAGAUACCCGAGUAGUC
rnacentral:rRNA from 1 species